rnacentral:tRNA from 1 species
GGGGUUUUAGCUCAGUGGUAGAGCGCUUGCCUAGCAAGCACAAGGCCCUGGGUUCGGUCCCCAGCUCCA